GAUGAACGCUAGCGACAGGCCUAACACAUGCAAGUUGAGGGGUAUUGCAGCAAUGCAAGAGACCGGCGCACGGGUGCGUAACGCGUAUGUAACCUGCCUUACACAGAGGGAUAGCCUUCCGACAGGGAGAUUAACACCACAUAACAUCAAGAUGCCGCAUGGUAGUGUGCUUAAAUCUCAGGAGGUGUAAGAUGGGCAUGCGUAUGAUUAGCUAGUUGGCGGGGUAACGGCCCACCAAGGCGACGAUCAUUAGGGGUUCUGAGAGGAAGAUCCCCCACACUGGUACUGAGACACGGACCAGACUCCUACGGGAGGCAGCAGUGAGGAAUAUUGGUCAAUGGGCGCAAGCCUGAACCAGCCAUGUCGCGUGCAGGACGACUGCCCUAUGGGUUGUAAACUGCUUUUGUAUGGGAAGAAACGACGGCACGAGUGCUGUUUUGCCGGUACCAUACGAAUAAGGAUCGGCUAACUCCGUGCCAGCCGCCGCAGUAACAC
rnacentral:rRNA from 1 species